GGUAUUUGUGGCUCAGAGGUAGAGUGCUCACCUGGCAUGCGUGAGGCACUGGGUUCGCUCCUCAGUACCA
rnacentral:tRNA from 1 species